AGUAACGCGUGGGUAACCUGCCUCAUACAGGGGGAUAACGAUUGGAAACGAUUGCUAAUACCGCAUAAGCGCACAGCACCACAUGGUGCAGUGUGAAAAACUCCGGUGGUAUGAGAUGGACCCGCGUCUGAUUAGCUAGUUGGUGAGGUAACGGCCCACCAAGGCAACGAUCAGUAGCCGACCUGAGAGGGUGACCGGCCACAUUGGGACUGAGACACGGCCCAG
rnacentral:rRNA from 1 species